CCUAUGAGCUACUUUUCCCUAUGACCCAUAGACUCUGGGGCGUGACAGAGGGGAGCGUUUUACACAUUGGACAGUUCAAUGUCUCGCAGCUUUUCUAAAGAAAACAAAACAGAGCUCACUGCGUAUAGAUGUUUCCGUCCAGAGCAUCGAAGAGACGCAUUUAUUUUUAUUUCCGCACCCACCCUAGUUUGAUAUUUCUAUCAAUAUUCUUCAAUCGUUUCAUUCCAACAUUUCUAAACCCAAAAUCCUCUCGUUUUCCAUUUUCGAUAAAUUCUCUAAAUCUUUGAUUUCUGUUGUUUCCUUCUGCCAUAAUCGCGUUCAAUGGAGGAAAUUCUUCUUUUCCCUAGAUGAUGUUCGCCGUUGGCGAAGAGCUUUGGGUGAGCGAGUGAACUCGUAUCACAAAAUCAAGAAAAUAGAGACCCUUGAACCUAAAGAGAUGGAUGGAGUUCUUACACAAUUCGACUUUUGGGAAGAUUAUGGCCGUUGAAGAGAAUCUGCAAUUCUCGGGUACGUUUAGACAACAUGUCGUUGCGAUUAACAAGAUUGGUAGAAUGUAGAGGUGAUAAUUCAUGCAUAUACUGGUUCAAGGUAAAAACAACAUAGAUAUGCUAACUUUGUUUAAUUAUGGCUAAUUGCCUUUUUAGCGGUUAACAAGAUUGAUAAAACAUAGAGGUGAUAGAGUAUGCGCAUACUUUGUUUAUGUUAAAUACAACUUGUAGCCGGUAAUCUGUCCGUUGAUGGAUAUGUAUCUGUCUAGAAUUUAACAAGAUUGAUAGAAUAGAGAGGUGAUAGUAUACGAUGUAGUGGUCUAGGGUUAAUAAAUUAUUUAUCCGCUAAGUUUUUGACAUAUGGCUACUUAUAAUUUUAACCGCUAAGAUUUUUUAUUAUUCAUCGACUUUCCUAUUGAUUGAAGCUCAUGCAACAUUCGGUGUCGAUGGAUGUAAGGCUAUCACUCCUUGCAUUCUCCCAGACGCCGCAAAGCAACUGGUUCUUAAAUUUCAUGAAGACCUCUUAAGUAGUGGUUACUACUACAGACUUUGUUUAAGAUUUUAAGGAUUGUUAGUUUCUUUAUGCACACUAUCGACUGUUUUCGUUUUAACGGAUAAUUCAUGUUUACUAGUGCGCCAUUAUAUUUUAGUCGUUAACUCAAAUCGUUAGGCUUUAAAAUAGUGCUAGAUCGUUUAGCCAAACUCAAAUCGUUAAGCGGUAAUAAGAUGUCUUCCCAAAAUGAUCAAUACAAAUAACAGAUUAUUAGAUGUAUUAACAUGGAAGUUAGGUGAUCAAUACACCAUAUUUCUGUCGCUAAAUCAGCUCAAUACACCCAUCAUAAUGCUUGUUCGCUUAACCGUUAACUCAAAUCAUUAGGCGGUAACAAUAUGUCUUACCAUAACACAACUCAAAAUUUUAACCUAUCUUAGUAAUAUUAAAUCAUUAACACUCAUCUAUGAAAUCAGAUCUAAAUUGAUUAAUACACUUAACCGCUAUCCAAGAGACUUUACGGUUAAAAUUUGGUUGGAAGCCCAUUUUGCAUUUAGUUAGCAUCGAUUGGCCCCGUAAAUCUUAGUUAACUGCUAACGAUAUACAUUACCAAGCAACAUAUAAUGUAACACAAUAACAUAGAAGUUAGGUUUCGAAAUCAUUACAAGUACAAAACCCGUCCUUUACCCAAAGGACCUUCGUCUGAUCCUACUGCUCUGAAUCCGCAGACUGACAUAUACGACCACUGUCUCCCUUUCUCUAAAAGCAAGGUUAGUUUCGUCCAUUACUGGUUAAAAGGUUAUUCACUUUUACCAUUUGAAAAUUCAUAGACAUUUAACAAAUUUUGGACCUUAAUUGGAUAUAUUCAACACAUUGUCCCAAGAUAUUUUCUUAUGGUGCUAAUGUAUAUGGUGCUCAAAUGUCUAACACUCCUUUUAUUUAAUGUGCUGCCAGUUUUGCUCAACGUCCGCCGAAUCUGUUAUUGGUCAAUGCUAGAGAGUUAUCUGUUUAAGCAAGUCUCCAUGAUUAAAAGAGAAUGCCGACGUUCUUCUAUUGUUUAACCAUUUUCCGAUCUUAGGUUUAUGGUUUUCAUCUACUUCCGGGUAAAAGGAAAAAAUCUAUAUUAUAAUAGGGGAGUUUUUGCUCUCUCCUAAACAUAUCCACGUGGCAUGUUGUGGGACCCAUAUAUUUUUUUUAUUUUUUAUUUUAUUCGCUUUUGGCUUCGUUUCUCUUUCGUCUUCCUUCGCUCUUUGCCGUCAUUCAUCCUCUGUCGACGCCUCAACACAGGAUCCGAUUAAACUCAUAUUAGGAUCACCUAAUAUUGGAUCAUGGAAAGGAGCAAUCUCAGCAGCUUUCAUUAGCACCAGGACCUGAUUUCUCUGAUUACCUUGUCUUGGCAGCUCACAGAACCAAGAGACCUAACAUUCUCAGGGCCUUUAAGCCUUACCGUGGAGGCUGGAUCAUCACCAACAAUCACCAAUAAUAUAGAUUUAUGAUUGAAUCUGCAGAAUUCUGUGAUCCGCAGUUUCAUAGAUAUCAUGAAGAUUCAGUUCAUAAAUGUGUGGACCUGUGUUUUUUUUUUUUUUUUUUUUUUUUUGCGUUUUGAGAUAACUGGGGCGCAUCACAUACUACUAAGGCUGAAGGAAAAAGCUAGCGUGUAAUCACAACCCUCAAAUCCGAGAAGGAAGAAUUGGAGGCAUGACUCAGCAAGGAGAAGAUAUAAACUCUCCAACUGAAGGAAGAGUUAACAGAGACUGAUACGAGAAACAUGCCUUCAACUUGGUUCUUAUUUAGUCUAGCAUUUUACCAUAAGCGAGUAGAAAGCAAGAGACAUGAGUUUGAUAGAAUUUCUUCAGAGAUUGUUUUGUCACAGCAACCAUUGUUUUGUAUUUGAUUUAUAGAAACUUCAAUAUGUGUGGAGUUAACUUGCAGCGGAACAGUCGAGGUGUUUCAAAUUAGAGGUAUGUAGGAUAUUAUUUCUCUUUCCAUUUUGAAAGCGUAGUGUAAGUUCUGGUUUGAUAUCUGAACAUCCCUAUGAAGUUAUGUUUUUUUCUGGCACUUCUCUUUUUCCAUUACCAGUCUCAUCUUUUAUAUCAGUAUUUACUUUUAGAAAAGAAAUAACGAGAUAAGCAUCAUACAUAAAUUUUGUUAGUGUCAGUUCUUGAUAAAAAUAAGGUGUAAAUGGUUGUAUCUACAAUCGUUUGAUAUUUUUGAUACACACUAUUUUAGAUUAUAUGCUCUGAAUCAUUUUGUAUGUAGUCAAAUCCUUAGUGCUAAUUGUAUUCAAUUUUGAAAUACCAGAUUAUAUUAACUGCUUGAAAGUUCUUUUAUUAAUAUAUUAAAAGAUAAUUAUUAUUACCUCACUUUUUAUGAACAUAUGGGCAUAUGGUUCAAGCUGUUUCCAACACUGGAGCCCGAGUGGAAAGGGCACAUAAACAACCAAUUGGACCAGGUUCGCUUUGGUGCCAUAUUCUAAAUUCUUAAAACCUUAUAAUUUUAAAAAGAAAAAUACGAGUAACCAAUGUCCUAAACUGUUCUCUGAUGCGUUGGGAUGCGUACCGUUUAGCUCUUCUCACAAAUAUUGUGCUAAGUUGCGGUGAGCUGUAUAAAUUUUUCCAUUUUUUCUUAUAACCAUAGAAAGCCUCAUUUCAAAAAAAAAAAUAUAUAUAUAUAUAUGAGUAGGAUUAGACUCCAAAACGACUAAACCCUAUAUAUAGCAAAGCUUUCUAAGGUUUUCAAGGGAUUUAUGGAUUGUUUUAGAAUCAGACUUGAGUAAAUCUAACUAAGUAUUUUUUUAUUGUUAAUUACCCGUUUACAUUCUUGAAAUAUUUUGAGCCUAAUAAUUAAGCUAAUUUGUUAUUUAAUGAGCAGAAAAACUAAAAGUCCAAAACUUUACAGAUUCUUUCGAUUUUGUAAGUUACAGAUUUGAUUUGAGGAUUUAAAGUUUUGAUUUAAAAUUUUAGGAGUGCGGCGAGGGACAAAAGAGAACGAUUACACCAAGUUAUAGCCACCUGUGUUAUUUCCUGUUAAACAUAACGAAGACAGCUGAGUCUGUUGGAUAUGUGAUCUGAACACAGUACCAAUAUUAUGGAAUGUUGCUGUUUUGUCAGCGAUUUAUUGUCAGAAUAUGAAUAUAAAGGCUAGAACAAAAUUGUCUUAAAUUUAAGUUCAAGUGCAAUACCAUACAACAUAAAUUGCAUCGCCGACACCGCAUCAUGUAUGUGUAAGUGAAAAAAAACAUCAUGUACACAAAAUUAUCCCAUAUAGCAACAAUAUACAUACAACAACAACGUUUCCGGUCCGGCGCUUGCGCGGAGACUAUGCCCCUAGUUAUAUUAAAGAGAGACUUUUUUUCAUCUUUCAAGAUAUGGAAGAAUCUAAUCUACAUUUUGACUAUAAAUACCUAUUAAAAGGACUUAUAAAUAUUAGGAAAAGCGAAUCACCUACUAAUUAUUUUCGACUAUAAAACCAAACAACUAAAACUAAGGUUUAUGAACCAAUAUACAUUGUACUUAUGCUAUAAUUAUCAAUAAAACACUACAUUUGAUCCAUUCUUGUUGCUUUAUUGUUUUACUCCUUGUUUAUGUAGUGUCACGAAGAACUCUUUUCUUUUUUUUACUCUUACUUCAAAACAGUUAGAGCAAAGUGUUCAUAAAUUGUCGCAACUUGAAGCCGAGAAUCUAGCUCUCCGAGAAGAUAACUAAGCCUUAAAUACAACAAGUAGGACAGGCCGAAGAUUCUGAACCUCGCCACACAUCCACACAUCAAGCACUAUGAACUCUAACUCAGCCACUUGGAACUUUAAAUCAUCAAACUAAUGGAAUUAAAAAUGUCAAGAAAUGUAAGUGAGAAGAAGGCAUACAUGAUUCCCACAAGAGGUUUAGUUUAUAUUUUGGUUUAUAUGAUUCCAGUUCAAAUUAAUUUUGGCCUAGGUGGUUUCAUUUCCAAUGAAUUUAAAAUUUGAUUGAUAAAAUAAUUUUGAGAUUAAACACAUUUUAUCACGGUUUUUUAUAACUAUUUUGGUUUUGUGGCAUGAAGUAAAUAUGUGAUAAAAACUAAAAAAAUAACCAGAUCAUAAUUAAAUAUGCGGCUAAAACAUAAAAAAAUCUACCAAUUCUUCAUUAAAUCUGUCAAAAUUUUAAAAAUAUGUGGUCAAAUAGUAAAUAAAUCUAUUAUAUUUUAAUUAAAUCUGUCAAAUUAAGUAAAUAUGUCACCUGAGAAAUUUUUUUUUAGUGAAUGCUAUUUAAGUAUCAAAACUAAGUAAAUAUCUGGUUAGAAAUAAAAAUAAUAAAUUAAUCUGUACAAUUUAAGUAGAUUUAUGACUGAACAUAAAUAAAUAUGUUAAAAUAACUUUGUGACUACAUAAGAUAUUCAUAAAAUAAAUAUGUUCAUUGGCAUAAUCGUAAUGAUUUAUUUUUCUACUGUUAAAAUGUAGUAAUUUCAUUUUUGUAAUUACUCUUUUAUAGUUAAAGAUAGGUUUAUAAACAUCAAAUUAGUAAUGAAAUAAAAUUAGAGUUAAUCUAAUAACAAACUAAUAAAUAAAAAGUAAACUAACUUUUUCUAUUAAAUUUAAUAGGGUAUGAAAGAUGAUGUUUGUCCACGAAACCACACAGAGAGACUAUUAACAAAAAUGUGUGGAAUAUUUUGCACAUCAGAUGAGUGUUAAAGAAAUCACUAGUCGGUGAUUAGGCAUUUGGCUGAGGACGACCGCAUAGGCGGAUUAUCCGGGGCAUAUUCGUUAAAGAAUCAUUGAUUUAUUUUAUAUGCAUUUUAAAUUUAUACAAGAUAUUUAGUAUUUGGGUUUAAUUAUAAAAUUAUUUUGAUGAAUUAUCAAAAUUAAAUAUACAAAACAAUUAAACAAAUUUGUGAAUUUUUACUAACAUUAUUAAUUAAUUUAACAGAUUUAUACUACUUUAGAUCGAUUUAAACCAUGUUAAAAGUGUUUUAAAUUGGAUUUAAAAAAACCUUUUCAGUUAAAGGGGAGUUGCCGCCUAGGUGCUGCCUUGGGCGAUUUAGUUAUAAGUGUUUUAAGUUGAAUAAAAUUUAGAUGAAAGUACAUCAAAAUCUCUCUUCAAUAGAUGAUAAAUUUUCUCUAUUUAAAAAGGUAAGAUAUCUUUAAAUACUGUACCAAAAUAGUUGUAAAUAUAUAGUCAAGCAGAUAUAAUCAAAUACUUCAAAAACUAGUGAUUAUAUUUCUAUAAUUUCUCACCUCAUAAUUGUAUAUAAAGCUUCUUACUAGUCUCCAACUUUGUUAGAUCUAUCUACAAUCAACAUACACAAAUAUUAAAAAAAAAAUGGCUAAGGCAGCUUCUUCUUCACUUGCUCUCGCCAUAAUCAUCCUUGUUUUGUUUUCCUUUGGCGAACAGAAUAUGGGAUCUAUAUGGUGCGACAAAUUUAUUGGACCAUGCGUUAAAUUUCCAGAUUGUGAUCAAUCUUGCAGAGAUAAACUUGGACCAGAUUCAAAUGGAUUUUGCGACAUAAAAGCCAAAAAUUAUUGCCAUUGCAAAUAUGAUUGUUGGAACGGUAAAACUCCAGUGUGAGCUGCAAUGCUAUGAAAUGUCAACUGUUUCCAAUGUAUACGGAAAAAUCAAGGCACAAAAUAAUGUUAAAUCAUA